CCAGCAGCUGCGGUAAUUCCAGCUCCAAUAGCGUAUAUUAAAGUUGCUGCAGUUAAAAAGCUCGUAGUUGGAUUUCUGGUACGAUGUAUCUGUCCCGCCACGGUUAUCGUGUGUGAGUGACGGAUUGCGUCUGCCAUUCUUGUAGAGAACUAGUCUGCCCUUCACUGGGUUGGGCUAGCAAUCUGCAUCUUUUACUUUGAAAAAAUUAGAGUGUUUAAAGCAAGCUUAUGCUAUGAAUACAUUAGCAUGGAAUAAUAAUCUAGGACUUCGGUCUUAUUUUGUUGGUUUUCAGGAUCGAAGUAAUGAUUGAUAGGGACAGUUGGGGGUGCUCGUAUUGCCUGGCCAGAGGU
rnacentral:rRNA from 1 species